GGCUCAGAAUCAACGCUGGCGGCGUGCCUAACACAUGCAAGUCGGACGAGAAAGUGGGGGCAACCCUGCGAGUACAGUGGCAGACGGGUGAGUAACACGUGAACAACCUACCCUUGAGUGGGGAAUAACACCGCGAAAGCGGUGCUAAUACCGCAUAAAAUCCUUUAUUCGCAUGGGUAAGGGAUCAAAAGCGAGAGUUGCUUGAGGAGGGGUUCGCGGCUGAUUAGCUAGUUGGUGAGGUAACGGCCCACCAAGGCAACGAUCAGUAGCCGGCCUGAGAGGGCGAACGGCCACACUGGAACUGAGACACGGUCCAGACUCCUACGGGAGGCAGCAGUGGGGAAUUUUGCGCAAUGGGCGAAAGCCUGACGCAGCAACGCCGCGUGGAGGAUGAAGGCCUUCGGGUCGUAAACUCCUGUCGAUGGGGACGAAGUUCUAGCAAUAGGAUUGACUGUACCCGUUGAGGAAGCCACGGCUAACUCCGUGCCAGCAGCCGCGGUAAUACGGAGGUGGCAAGCGUUGUUCGGAAUUACUGGGCGUAAAGGGCGCGUAGGCGGCUUAACAAGUCAGAUGUGAAAGCCCCAGGCUCAACCUGGGAACUGCAUCUGAAACUGUAUAGCUUGAGUUCUGGAGGGGGUAGUGGAAUUCCCAGUGUAGCGGUGAAAUGCGUAGAUAUUGGGAGGAACACCUGCGGCGAAGGCGGCUACCUGGACAGUGACUGACGCUGAGGCGCGAAAGCUAGGGGAGCGAACGGGAUUAGAUACCCCGGUAGUCCUAGCUGUAAACGAUGGGCACUUGGUGUUGGGGGUAUUGAGUCCCUCGGUGCCGGAGCUAACGCGAUAAGUGCCCCGCCUGGGGAGUACGGUCGCAAGACUGA
rnacentral:rRNA from 1 species